AUUAAUUUUUUUUUGGUCACAUUGAAUCUAAGUAGUUAUGCUACUCUAAAAAUGAAAUCCAAGCCACACAAGCUCAAACGGUGUCAUACAAAAAUAAAUAUAUUUACUUAGAUAUGUUUCAUCAUGUGAUUUCAUGUGAAGGGAUACUUAGUGAUACUUCAAACUUAAAGAAAAACACAAGUUUCAAGAUUAACAGAAACAACAAGAGCAAAGCAGUCGAAUCCCAGCUUGGAUCCAACUCAAUAAAUUCCAAUAAGUUUCUUAAUUAGCAUUAUUUAUGUGGUUUAUUUAUAGUCUUAUAUGCUUAGUAACUGCUAUUAGAAUGGUUUUGUAUCAAGAUGGAGAACUCUUAAGAUGAAAAUAGCUAAACUUAGGAAAGUGAUUCAAUUGCCUCGUAAAAACGAAGGAUCAGAUAGACGAUUCUUAAGCGGAAAAGAACCAACUUUAAGAAAGCCAUCCAGUCUCCUCGAAAGAAGAAGGGCCAGAUCUUGAUUUCCAUGGUACAAUACUAACGAAAUCAGGGAUCAGAUUCUUCUUCUUGGAAAGUCUCGUGCAUAUGAGACAACAAAUAUAUUCUUCAGUGCUAAGCAUGUUCCGUGAAGAUUUAAAGAACAAGAGAUGAAAACCAGUCAGCCUCUAGAGUGGAUCCUUAUUCUGUAAAGAACAAAGGUCCUUGCCAAGAGCAAAUGAGAGACGAUUUUGCAGCAAGAGCAUAUGAGAGGUCAGGUAAAGUAAAGUUUCCUCUAUUCUCAUGUGUAUAUACUCAAUUCUCAUGUAUUCUUCCCUACAUGUUAUUUGCAUUUGAUGAGCCUUGGUGGCUUGGCUUGUUUUGGUUCCUCAAACUAUCUAGAAACACACAACUUUACGAAUACAUAUACAUGCAAUCACCUAAACUCAAAACACACCGAAAGACAACAAAAUUCAAACAUAAACACGUGAAACUGAAACACGAUGCAAAAAAAAACACGUCACGCAGAUAAACUCAAAGCACCCUCGAACACAACACAACAUAACACAAUAAUAAAAUUCAACACAAUACUAGACACAGGAAAAAAAAAAUUCAAUCUUUCUUUAUUGGCAAGAACAAUGCCAUUAUGUUGCCAAGUCAAUAUCUUGUG